rnacentral:lncRNA from 1 species
UUUUUAAUGUUUUGUUAUUUUACAACAAAUAGAAUCUUAAGUCUUCACUGUCAAUGCUCCAGUGAAGUAUCUAUAUAAAACUACGUUGUAAAUACGAAGGAAAAUACUCAAAGCUUAAUAAUAAUAAAAAAAAAACCCAAAUACGACUGCAACUUGUAUCAUUAAGUCCACAAUCAUAUUGAAAAAGAAAACCAGGAGACCGCAAACAUGAACACAAAAAUAUACUUGCAGUAUGCUACACAUAGUUACAUAAUACAGU